rnacentral:rRNA from 1 species
UCGGAUUGCAGCCUGCAACUCGGCUGCAUGAAGCCGGAAUCGCUAGUAAUCGCGGAUCAGAACGCCGCGGUGAAUACGUUCCCGGGUCUUGUACACACCGCCCGUCACACCAUGGGAGUCGGGAACGCCCGAAGUCGGUGCCCCAACCGUAAGGAGGGAGCCGCCGAAGGCGGGCCCGGCGACUGGGGUGAAGUCGUAACAAGGUACC